rnacentral:rRNA from 1 species
CAGUCGCCGCGGUAAUACGUAGGUGGCAAGCGUUGUCCGGAAUUAUUGGGCGUAAAGGGCUCGCAGGCGGUUUCUUAAGUCUGAUGUGAAAGCCCCCGGCUCGACCGGGGAGGGUCAUUGGAAACUGGGAAACUUGAGUGCAGAAGAGGAGAGUGGAAUUCCACGUGUAGCGGUGAAAUGCGUAGAGAUGUGGAGGAACACCAGUGGCGAAGGCGACUCUCUGGUCUGUAACUGACGCUGAGGAGCGAAAGCGUGGGGAGCGAACAGGAUUAGAUACCCCAGUAGUCCCUGUCUCUUAUAC